rnacentral:rRNA from 1 species
GAUGAACGCUGGCGGCGUGCCUAAUACAUGCAAGUCGAGCGAACAGACGAGUAGUUUGCUCCUCUGACGUUAGCGGCGGACGUGUGAGUAACACGUGGAUAACCUACCUAUAAGACUGUGAUAACUUCGGGAAACCGGAGCUAAUACCGGAUAACAUGUUGAACCGCAUGGUUCAAUAGUGAAAGCCGGUUUUGCUGUCACGUAUAGAUGGAUCCGCGUCGCAUUAGCUAGUUGGUAAGGUAAGGGCUUACCAAGGAAACGAUGCGUAGCCGGCCUGAGAGGGUGAUCGGCCACACUGGAACUGAGACACGGCCCAGACUCCUACGGGAGGCAGCAGUAGGGAAUCUUCGGCAAUGGGCAAAAGCCUGACGGAGCAACGCCGCGUGAGUGAAGAAGGUCUUCGGAUCGUAAAGCUCUGUUAUUAGGAAAGAACAAAUGUGUAAGUAACUAUGCACGUCUUGACGGUACCUAAUCAGAAAGCCCCGGCUAACUACGUG